UGAUGCUGUGUGAUUGGGUGAUGAUGCUCUGGGGCUGAGUGUGAUUGGGUGGUGAUGCUGUGUGAUUGGGCGGUGAUGCUCUGGGGCUGAGUGUGAUUGGGUGGUGAUGCUCUGGGCUGAGUGUGAUUGGGAGGUGAUGCUCUGGGGCUGAGUGUGAUUGGGUGGUGAUGCUCUGGGGCUGAGUGUGAUUGGGUGGUGAUGCUCUGGGGCUGAGUGUGAUUGGGUGGUGAUGCU